rnacentral:rRNA from 1 species
AUCCAGCAUAUCCUUACUCGCUGCCCAUUUUCGCAGUAGAUCUGGUUCGAUAUUAUUUCUUGGUGCCGGCUACCAAUCCUCUCGCUGGGCCCUGGUGCGGAUCACCUCUGUUGGUGGGAGCAGCCCCACAUCACUACACCCGCGAGCGCACGUAAAGGCUUUAACACUGUUGUUAUGCUCACGUCUUGGGAGCUCUGGAAGCAUAGAAACAACUGCGUCUUUGAUGGUCUUCACCCUUCCAUCGGCCUUCUAUUCGAGAUCAUUCGGCAGUAGGCUUUGCUUUGGGCUCGUGCCAGAGUCAACGGAUUGCACACCAUUGUAGGCAUAGGCUGA